ACUUACAAAUAGCCUGUACACAUGGUCCCAUACACCGCAAAUCAUCUCUAGAUUACCUAUAAUAUGUAAUACAACGUAAAUGCUUACACCAUAUUUUACAAUUUGUAUUAUUUUUUACUGUUGUAUUGUUAUCUUUUCCCCCAAAUAUUCUCUGUCUGCGAGCGGAGCGAGACCUUCCUGGAAGUGUGGGGGAAUGCGCUGCUGCGCCCGCCAGUGGCCGCCUUCGUGCGUGCCCAGGCCGACCUGCUGGCGCACCUGGUCCCCGAGCCCGACCGCCUGGAGGAACAGCUGCCCUGGCUCAGCCUCCGCGCCCUCAAGCGUGGGGAGCGCGUGGCAGCGCGCGGGUACUGGGGGGACAUCGCCACGGGGCCCUUCGUGGCCUUCGGCAUCGAAGCGGACGACGAGAGCCUCCUGCGGACCAGCAACGGCCAGCCAGUCAAGGUGCGCGGCGAGGCUGGGACUGGGGGUAGAGGUGGGGCUGGGGGGGUCGGUGGGUGC
rnacentral:sRNA from 1 species